rnacentral:lncRNA from 1 species
CCCAGGCUGGAGUGCAAUGGCCGGAUCUCAGCUCACUGCAAGCCCCGCCUCCCGGGUUCACGCCAUUCUCCUGCCUCAGCCUCCGGAGUAGCUGGGACUACAGGCGCCCGCCACCUCGCCCGGCUAAUUUUUUUUGUAUUUUAGUAGAGACGGGGUUUCACCGUGUUAGCCAGGAUGGUCUCGAUCUCCUGAACUCGUGAUCCGCCCGUCUCGGCCUCCCAAAGUGCUGGGAUUACAGGCUUGAGUAAUUUUUUGUAUUUUUAGUAGAGACGGGGUUUCACCGUGUUAGCCAGGAUGGUCUCGAUCUCCUGACCUCUUGAUCCGCCCGCCUCGGCCUCCCAAAGUGCUGGGAUUACAGGCGAGAGCCACCGCCCCCGGCCUCUGCUCAAUAUUUCAAUGCCUUAUUCCUUUUUUAGUCAACUGCAGUCUGACUUCUGCCACCAACAUUCCACAGAAACUGCUCUCCCUAAAUUAUUAAUGAUCUUCUAAUUGCCAAAUGUACUAGGCAAGUGGUUUACAUGUAUCAAUGCAUGUAAUCCUCUACCAUCCUAUUACGUGUAUAUUCUUAUCCUAGUAUUGCCUAGGACAGGAGUCAUCAAACACUGGCUGGUCCACAGACCAACCUUCCUUUUUUUGUAAUACGCAUUUAUUUCUGUACCGUCUAUGGCUUCUUUUAUGUCACAAUGGCAGAGCUGAAUGUUGCAACAGAGACCUUACGGUUUGCACGGCCCAAAAUAUUUACUACCUAGUCCUUUACAGAAAUACUUGUCAGCCCCUGGCCUAGGGAGUUAAGCCUGGCUGGUCUUGUGUGAGAGUAGAAGAAAUGGCGGCUGUGCUUAGGUUGAGGGACUGGAUACAACCACUAAGCACAUACUAGGCAAAUGAUUUCCCAUGCAUUCAGAGUGGCAAAAGAGUGGAGGAAAGCCUAAGACAGACAGCAUUUGGUUAAAUUUGAAAAUCAUAUUUAGAGAGGCCACAGAGAAAUGCAAGCUACAUCACAGUGGGAUAUGUGAGAGGCUGUUACCAGAUGACAGAAAGCAAAAGUUACGUUUCCAUAGGAGAAAGGCUGCAGUGGAAACCUAAAAUGGAACUGAAGCAGAAUCAAGGUGGUAUGAGCUGCCAAAAACAGGACUUUUCUUUAUUGGUAAGAAGUUGAUGAUGGGGAAGGCUAUGUGGUAACAUUUGGAAAAGUGUUCUAGGGAUCAAUAAGGUUGCCCUUCUCACCGAUUCUAGACACUGUAUUUAGGAUUGCAUUUCUUGC